ensembl:lncRNA
CACUUUGACCAUCUAAGCCACAGCGCCGCUACUUGAAGCUGUUAAACCCCAAAACGAGUUGAACUUCUUUUCAAAAAAGUUUUAUUCAUGAAAAUGAAGUCAAAACCCUGGGUUAAAGGCACUGCUGGGAUUUGAACCCAGGAUCUCCUGUUUACUAGACAGGCACUUUGACCAGCUAAGCCACAGCGCCACUGUUUUAAGUUUUUCCUGAAAACGAUUAAAUUUAAUUCAUUUUUACCAUGUUGGAAAUCUAAAAAUGCUGUUAAACUUUUAAAGAUGGGGUCGAGAAUUAAACAUAUUUUGAGACAGUCAGUCAAGCAUCAAACCACAUUGCCUUUGUUAGUAGACCCGUCCCUAUGAAACUGGAAUCUCGUUUGAAAACAAGGCAUUAUGAACACUAAAUGAAUAUUAUAGGGACGAAGGCGCUGCUGGGAUUUGAACCCAGGUUCUCCGGUUUACGAAACAGGCACUUUGACCAAGUAAGCCACAGCGCCUCUACUUGAAGCACCUAAACCAAAAACAAAUUGAAUACCUUUUCAAAAAAGUUUUAAUCAGAAAAAUGAAGGCAAGACACAUUGUUAAAGGCACUGCUGGGAUUUGAACCCAGGAUCUCCUGUUUACUAGACAGGCACUUUGACCAUCUAAGCCACAGCGCCUCUACUUGAAGCGCUUAAACCAAAAACGAGUUGAACUUCUUUUCAAAAAAGUUUUAAUUAUGAAAAUGAAGUGAAAACACUGGGUUAAAGGCACUGCUGGGAUUUGAACCCAGGAUCUCCUGUUUACUAGACAGGCACUUUGACCAGCUAAGCCACAGCGCCACUGUUUUAAGUUUUUCCUGAAAACGAUUAAAUUUAAUUCAUUUUUACCAUGUUGGGAAUCUAAAAAUGCUGUUAAACUUUUAAAGAUGGGGUCGAGAAUUAAACAGGAUCUUUUGAGACAGUCAGUCAAGCAUCAAACCACAUUGCCUUUGUUAGUAGACUCGUCCCUAUGAAACUGGAAUCUCGUUUGAAACAAGGCAUUAUGAACACUAAAUGAAUAUUAUAGCGACGAAGGCCCUGCUGGGAUUUGAACCCAGGGUCUCCUGUUUACGAAACAGGCGCUUUAACCAACUAAGCCACAGAGCCCUUGGAUAUGCCUUUUAUUCCUAAAGAUCUUGAGUUUAGCUGUAUUUCACCAGGUUUUAAUGCACAAAAGUAAAAUGUAAUAUCUCACCAAGUUGGAAUAAUAAAAAAAAGGAAGUCAAAACAGAGGUUAAAGGCACUGCUGGGAUUUGAACCCAGGAUCUCCUGUUUACAAGACAGGCACUUUGACCAGCUAAGCCACAGCGCCACUGUUUUAAGUUUUUCCUGAAAACGAUAAAAUUUAAUUCAUUUUUACCAUGUUGGAAAUCUAAAAAUGCUGUUAAACUUUUAAAGAUGGGGUCGAGAAUUAAACAGGAUCUUUUGAGACAGUCAGUCUAGCAUCAAACCGCAUUGCCUUUGUUAGUAGACUCGUCCCUAUGAAACUGGAAUCUCGUUUGUAAACAAGGCAUUAUGAACACCAAAUGAAUAUUAUAGCGACGAAGGCCCUGCUGGGAUUUGAACCCAGGGUCUCCUGUUUACGAAACAGGCGCUUUAACCAACUAAGCCACAGAGCCCUUGGACAUGCAUUUUAUUCCUAAAGAUCUUGAGUUUAGCUGUAUUUCACCAGGUUUUAAUGCACAAAAGUAAAAUGUAAUAUCUCAGCAAGUUGGAAUAAUGAAAAAAAGGAAGUCAAAACAGAGGUUAAAGGCACUGCUGGGAUUUGAACCCAGGAUCUCCUGUUUACUAGACAGGCACUUUGACCAACUAAUCCACAGAGCCUCUACUUGAAGCGUUUAAACCAAAAACGAGUUGAACUUCUUUUCAAAAAAGUUUUAAUUAUGAAAAUGAAGUCCAAACACUGGGUUAAAGGCACUGCUGGGAUUUGAACCUAGGAAUUCCUGUAUACUAGACAGGCACUUUGACCAUCUAAGCCACAGCGCCUCUACUUGAAGCUGUUAAACCCAAAACGAGUUGAAUACCUUUUCAAAAAAGUUUUAAUCAGAAAAAUGAAGUCAAAACACUGGGUUAAAGGCACUGCUGGGAUUUGAACCCAGGAUCUCCUGUUUACUAGACAGGCACUUUGACCAUCUAAGCCACAGCGCCUCUACUUGAAGCUGUUAAACCCAAAACGAGUUGAACUUCUUUUCAAAAAAUUUUAAUUAUGAAAAUGAAGUGAAAACACUGGGUUAAAGGCACUGCUGGGAUUUGAACCCAGGAUCUCCUGUUUACAAGACAGGCACUUUGACCAGCUAAGCCACAGCGCCACUGUUUUAAGUUUUUCCUGAAAACGAUUAAAUUUAAUUCAUUUUUACCAUGUUGGAAAUCUAAAAAUGCUGUUAAACUUUUAAAGAUGGGGUCAAGAAUUAAACAGGAUCUUUUGAGACAGUCAGUCAAGCAUCAAACCACAUUUCCUUUGUUAGUACCCUCGUCCCUAAGAAACCGGAAUCUCGUUUGUAAACAAGGCAUUAUGGACACUAAAUGAAUAUUAUAGAGACGAAGGCCCUGCUGGGAUUUGAACCCAGGGUCUCCUGUUUACGAAA